rnacentral:sRNA from 2 species
UACGCCUCUGAGAAAAAACGGUGCACAACCGUCCUAGCUCAUCCAAGGCGGGCGCAUACAACUCUCGAGGGAACUCAGGCUUGAUCAGGCCCUUGAUAUCGAGGAAGUCAAUGUGUGGACCCCAAGCUAGUCGCGCGGUUGUCAAGGGUUUGUCACCCUCCAUUGCCUCGACCUCUAGGAGUACUGUGAAGGUGAUAUUCUCGAUGUCUAGCACAACCUUGCCGCCUGCGCUGCACUGGAUUUGACUGACGACAUCGCCACUACCUUUGAUGACAGUGGAAGACGUGAUGAGGUGCAAGUCUGUAUCAGCGUCGCAACGAUGGACUGUGAGCGUCUCGAUCUUCGUUGGAACUCGCCUGAAGAGCUUAUCUUCAAUGCGUCCCUUGAUGGCGGCCACCGGCCCGGAUUGAAGGGCAGCAUCGAUGAGAGUGGGAUGCAUGGGGUAGUGUUUCUCAUCACCAGCGGUCGACCGCAAGAUCUUGCCGGUAGCCAUAGCCUCCACGGUGCCGGUAGUAAUACCAUC